UGGGGAAUAUUGCACAAUGGGGGAAACCCUGAUGCAGCGACGCCGCGUGAGUGAAGAAGUAUUUCGGUANGUAAAGCUCUAUCAGCAGGGACGAUAAUGACGGUACCUGACUAAGAAGCCCCGGCUAACUACGU
rnacentral:rRNA from 1 species